rnacentral:rRNA from 1 species
CCUACGGGUGGCAGCAGUGAGGAAUAUUGGUCAAUGGGCGCAAGCCUGACCCAGCGAUGCCGCGUGAAGGAAGAAGGCUUUCGGGUUGUAAACUUCUUUGACAGGGGAAGAGCAGAAGACGGUACCCUGAAAACAAGCUACGGCUAACUACGUGCGAGCAUCCGCGGUAAUACGGAGGGGGCAAGCGUUGUCCGGAUUUACUGGGUGUAAAGGGCGUGUAGCCGGGAAGGCAAGUCAAAUGUGAAAUCUGGAGGCUCAACCUCCAAAUUGCCUUUGAAACUGUUUUUCUUGAGUACUGGAGAGGCAGGCGGAAUUCCUGGUGUAGCGGUGAAAUGCGUAGAUAUAAGGAGGAACACCAGUGGCGAAGGCGGUCUGCUGGACAGCAACUGACGGUGAGGCGCGAAAGCGUGGGGAGCAAACAGGAUUAGAUACCCCAGUAGUC